rnacentral:rRNA from 1 species
ACUCAAAUGAAUUGACGGGGGCCCGCACAAGCGGUGGAGUAUGUGGUUUAAUUCGACGCAACGCGAAGAACCUUACCAGCUCUUGACAUGUCCAUUAUGGGUCUGAGAGAUCAGAUCCUUCGGUUCGGCCGGGUGGAACACAGGUGCUGCAUGGCUGUCGUCAGCUCGUGUCGUGAGAUGUUGGGUUAAGUCCCGCAACGAGCGCAACCCUCAUCUUUAGUUGCUACCAGGUUAUGCUGGGCACUCUAAAGAAACCGCCGGUGAUAAGCCGGAGGAAGGCGGGGAUGACGUCAAGUCCUCAUGGCCCUUACGGGCUGGGCUACACACGUACUACAAUGGUGGUGACAGUGGGAAGCGAAAGCGCGAGCUGGAGCGAAUCCCCAAAAGCCAUCUCAGUUCAGAUUGCACUCUGCAACUCGAGUGCAUGAAGUUGGAAUCGCUAGUAAUCGUGGAUCAGAAUGCCACGGUGAAUACGUUCCCGGGCCUUGUACACACCGCCCGU